CGCUUGAACCCGGGAGGCAGAGGUUGCAGUGAGCCAAGAUCGAGCCACUGCACUAGAAGUAGGAAGAGCGUCUGGGGUGGGAGAGUAGGGUUAGCACUGGCCAGCUCUGGAACCAGGCAGAGACCACAGGAAGGGCUGCUGGAAUUCCACUGGCCCAACCACCCCAUGGACCCAGCUCCCUCACCGGGCCUGGAAUUCCUUGGUGCAGAGUGAGUGAGUGAUGUGCUCGAUGGAGUCACAGAGGCAGUGUGUGUAGUCGUAGGUGGGAUAGAUGCACCUGUGGGGCAUAGGCAGUGGGCCCUACCAUCCAGCCCUACUCUGCCCUACCCCAUGGCCCAUCGCCCUGCUCGGCAGCCCCACCACCCCACCCCAUUCUACACCCACCAUUUGUCCCCUGUGCGGUGGUGUGGUGUAUACUUGACUCGAUAGGCUACAGGGUCCAUCUUGCCAUCCUCCAUCACCAGCUUCAUCCGUAGUGUGGCCUCGCCCUCUGAAAACUUGCCCUUGCGCA
rnacentral:lncRNA from 1 species